UCCAUCUCGUACCCUUUGUAUAAAUAUAUAUAGCCGGAGCUUCCAUAUAUUUCAUUCACAUAUGCCUCACCCAACAACAUAUAGUCGUAGCAGAUACCACUCUUACAUCAAGUCAGAGAGAGAUCAGGUGAAACAAAAACAAAAGCAGAGCACGGCCGGUAAAAUCAAAAGACGAUGAACAAACUGGGAACACACGAAACAAGGUGGGAGACAUCAUCGAAUCAGAGAUGAACAAUUAAACAAGGCUAUAUAUGACGAUGACGGCUUAGUUGCCACCAGACUCCUCGCAGCCCGGGGGCUUGUAGGCGAUGAAG
rnacentral:misc_RNA from 1 species